rnacentral:lncRNA from 1 species
AGACUUGAUCAAACCCUUCCUGAAGCUUACUGAAGAAGAAAGAUUCAACUGACAAGCCUGUGAGUCCUAAAAGAAGAAAUGCAGAUUGCUAAGGCAUCAAGGAUUGGGGACUUCACUGAAUCUUGGGGGGUCAAGAAGGGGUCCCCAGAAAGGUGAUGCUCUUGCAGAGACUUGAUGCACAUAAAAGGAGCUUGGGACUUUGGAAGUGGUUUUAAACAUCAGUUCUUGCACCCUCUGCCUGGGAUCGUUUUCUCACCAACACCUGCUGGCUUUGAAUGAAACUCCCUCCCCCUUUAGGGAACUUAUGCAGCUGAAGAGAAAUGGAUGCUGGGAACUGCUUCCAGGGACCUGGAAAUUGAUGAAGACACACACAAGGGCUGCACCUGUGGCCUAUGGAGGUUCCCAGGAUAGGGGCCAAAUCGGAGCUAUAGCUGCCUGGCCUACACAACAGCUACGGCAAUGCCAGAUUCUUAACCCGCUGAUCCAGGCAAGGGAUUGAACCUGAGUCCUCAUGGAUACUAGCAAGGUUCAUUAUCACUGAGCGAGAACUUUGCUUUUCCCUUUUAAAUGUAAUAGUUCGCAUCUACUACCCCCAAACUUCCAGGCUAUCCCACUGUCUCUCCCAAUCCCUUUGGCAACCUCAAGUCUUUUCUCCAUGUUGGUGACUCUGUUUCUGUUCUGUUGAUAGGCACACUUGUGCCACAUUUUAGAUUCUACAUAUAGGUGAUAUCAUACAGUGUUUGUCUUUCUGUGACUCUAGGGUUUGAGGAGAGGUCUGGGGUAGAUCAACAUUUAAGAAUCUCUGACCUGUGCACCGUAUUUAAAGCCCUGGGUAAGAUCACUAUGGAAGUGAGUCUAGAUGGAUGAGAGAAGCAGCCAGAGGCCUCAGCUGUCCUGCCUCUCAAAGUGGUGCAAGAGGAACCCAUUGCACCUGAAGAAAUCAAAGCUGAGGGAGUCAAGCAAUUGGCUUCACAGUGAGCAGCAGAGAUGGGAAUCUAAGCUCAUUGGUCUGGCUCUGAAGUCUGCGUGAUUAACCCCUUAGCAAUAGUCCAAAGGCUGGAGCAAAGAAGUCUUUUCCUGGAGACAUGAAUCAUGGCUGGUUGGCCAGGGCCACACCUCUAACUAUGCUGGGAUAGCAAGCUGUGCCCUCAGGUUUGAGCAAAUAAGACACCUCACUUUUGCUGGUAGAACCAGACGACACAUCCAUCAGCUCCACCUGGUGUAGUACUCAAGGCCCUCGAGGGAGCCAGAAAGAUCUGGUAAUUAAGAAAGAUUCCUUUCCUGAGCUGCAGUGGGUCACAGUGACUGUCAGGGUUAAAAGAUUGAUGGCUUAAUAAAGACCACCUGAAAAGGCAAUUGACCAGCAAGGGAAAAAAAGCAUUGCCACACACCCACUACCGCAGAGUCUCCAUUCAGAGACCCUCCAGCAUAGCAAAGCUGCUUGGAACACUCUGCACCACACAGCACUUGGCCCCAUUUUAUAGCUGCGAACCAUCUUCAGCCACCACAGGAUGCCUCCCUUUAUUCUCUGCAGUGAUAAACGGGACUAUCUUCCUGGUUCCUUGACUGGAUAUGUAGAGGCUACAAGACGUGUCCCUUGCUCUCAGGAGUUCACCGUGUCAUGGGACCAUGACGAUGUUCAAGAUUCUCAAUAAGCCUAGGAUAUCCUUCUGCAAAAGUGCAUUUCUCUAGUGGCCUGGAGAACAAGAGCCCAGAGUGUAAUAGAUGCUUGACAAAUUAUCCAGGGGACUGUGUGUGGAGUCAUAGAGAAAGGGCUCAGAUCUGAGAAUUACGACCAGCCCUGCAGCUCCUCCUCUGCUAAAAAACUAGCUUCUUGACUUCAGAUAAGUCAUUCUUCUUGAAUCUUAGUUUGCCCAUCUGUCAAAAAAGGGGGUUAGAGUAAAUGAUCUUUGGAGAUCUUUGAGAUCUAGGACUGGGAUUUGAAAGGUUUGAAAACCCCAGUAAAAACUCUGUCCUAAAAUCCUGUUAAAUCCCCAAAGGUGUCUUUCACAGGACAGGCAUCCUAGAGGGUUUGAGAGGAGGGAGCAGCUGCAUGUCUCCUGCGUGCCAUCGGCCCUUCUCUUUGUCAAGCCAUCCCUUCCCCAGUACUCCUCAGAUCCCAGCUCCUCAGGGGUUCAGGCUGAUGGGAAACUUGGCUGGACAGGUUGUCAUAGGGCCUCCCAGCAGUGGCAAAAUGGAAAAUCUGUGUGUUACCCUUGCCUCUUCCAGUGUCUGCCAGCAUCAGUGCCUGUGUGGGUUGGGUAGAGCUUCCUCAUGCCUGGGGCCAAGUGGCACUGCAACUGUGAAUUCAGGCAGAUUAAGGCAGAUGGAGAAGAGGAAAGGUACUCUUUUCAUUAUAUACAUCCUGAAAGAGAACUUGCUAUAUAUGCAAGGAGGAAGUUGCUGUCUGGGGCUCCUCAUGAGGUGUUUUCCUAAGGCAGACCUUCUCUUGGGACUGCUCCCUCCGUCCGUGUUGCCAGCACAUCAGUUCUAGCCUGGCUUUUUUUCUCAGCAGGAUGAUUAUGAAGCCUCCAGUGAGAAUCUGUCUCCAAUCUCCUUUCAAUCCAUUUUUUUUUUUUUUAAAUUAAGGAACUGGAGUUAUCCAUUUAAAGAAAAACAAAAGAAAGUUCCCAUUGUGGCUCAGCAGGCUAAGGGCCCGAAAUAGGCUCUGUGACAGUGUGGGUUUGAUCCCUGGCCUCGCUCAGUGGGUUCAGGAUCCGGCACUGGUUUCGAGCUGUGGCGUUAAGUCACAUAUGCAGCUCUGAUCUGGUGUUGCUGUGGCUGCGGUGUAGGCCAGCAGCUGCAGCUUGGAUUCCACCCCUAGCCUGGAAACUUCCUUAUGCUGCCGGUGUGGCUGUGAAAAGAAAAAAA